UACGUAGGGGGCAAGCGUUGUCCGGAAUCAUUGGGCGUAAAGCGCGUGUAGGCGGCUCGAUAAGUCUGCUGUGAAAGUCCAGGGCUCAACCCUGGGAUGCCGGUGGAUACUGUCGGGCUCGAGUCCGGAAGAGGCGAGUGGAAUUCCUGGUGUAGCGGUGAAAUGCGCAGAUAUCAGGAGGAACACCAAUGGCGAAGGCAGCUCGCUGGGACGGUACUGACGCUGAGACGCGAAAGCGUGGGGAGCAAACAGG
rnacentral:rRNA from 1 species